rnacentral:rRNA from 1 species
AGGAUUAACGCUGGCGGCGUGCCUAACACAUGCAAGUCGAACGAGGUAGCAAUACCUAGUGGCAGACGGGUGAGUAGCGCGUGGUCAACCUACCGUUGAGUGGGGGAUAACUAGCCGAAAGGUUAGCUAAAUACCGCAUACGUCUCCGAGGGGCAUCCCUUGGUGAUAAAAGGAGCAAUCCGCUCGAUGACGGGACCGCGUCCCAUUAGCUAGUUGGUGGGGUAACGGCCUACCAAGGCAUCGAUGGGUAGCUGGUUUGAGAGAGCGACCAGCCACACUGGGACUGAGAUACGGCCCAGACUCCUACGGGAGGCAGCAGUGAGGAAUUUUCCGCAAUGGGCGAAAGCCUGACGGAGCGACGCCGCGUGUGGGAAGAAGGCCUUCGGGUCGUAAACCACUGUCGAAGGGAGAUAAUGACGGUACCCUUGGAGGAAGCCCCGGCUAACUACGCGCCAGCAGCCGC